AGUGAACGCUGGCGGUAGGCCUAACACAUGCAAGUCGAACGGCAGCACAGUAAGAGCUUGCUCUUACGGGUGGCGAGUGGCGGACGGGUGAGGAAUAUAUCGGAAUCUACUUUUUCGGGGGGGUUCACGUAGGGAAACUUACGCUAAUACAGCAUACGACCUACGGGUGAAAGCAGGGGAUCUUCGGACCUUGCGCGAAUGAAUGAGCCGAUGUCGGAUUAGCUAGUUGGCGGGGUAAAGACCAACCAAGGCGACGAUCCGUAGCUGGUCUGAGAGGAUGAUCAGCCACACUGGAACUGAGACACGGUCCAGACUCCUACGGGAGGCAGCAGUGUGGAAUAUUGGACAAUGGGCGGAAGCCUGAUCCAGCCAUACCGCGUGGGUGAAGGAGGCCUUCGGGUUGUAAUGCCCUUUUGUUGGGAAAGAAAAGCAGCAGGUUAAGACCCCGCUGUUCUGACGGUACCCAAAGAAGAAGCACCGGCUAACUUCGUG
rnacentral:rRNA from 1 species